rnacentral:rRNA from 1 species
UAAGUGAAGAGUUUGAUCCUGGCUCAGAGUGAACGCUGGCGGUAGGCCUAACACAUGCAAGUCGAACGGCAGCACAGUAAGAGCUUGCUCUUACGGGUGGCGAGUGGCGGACGGGUGAGGAAUGCAUCGGAAUCUACUCUGUCGUGGGGGAUAACGUAGGGAAACUUACGCUAAUACCGCAUACGACCUACGGGUGAAAGCAGGGGAUCUUCGGACCUUGCGCGAUUGAAUGAGCCGAUGCCCGAUUAGCUAGUUGGCGGGGUAAGAGCCCACCAAGGCGACGAUCGGUAGCUGGUCUGAGAGGAUGAUCAGCCACACUGGAACUGAG